rnacentral:rRNA from 1 species
CCUACGGGUGGCAGCAGUCGAGAAUCAUUCACAAUGGGGGAAACCCUGAUGGUGCGACGCCGCGUGGGGGAAUGAAGGUCUUCGGAUUGUAAACCCCUGUCAUGUGGGGGCAAAUUAAAAAGAUAGUACCACAAGAGGAAGAGACGGCUAACUCUGUGCCAGCAGCCGCGGUAAUACAGAGGUCUCAAGCGUUGUUCGGAAUCACUGGGCGUAAAGCGUGCGUAGGCUGUUUCGUAAGUCGUGUGUGAAAGGCGCGGGCUCAACCCGCGGACGGCACAUGAUACUGCGAGACUAGAGUAAGGGAGGGGGAACCGGAAUUCUCGGUGUAGCAGUGAAAUGCGUAGAUAUCGAGAGGAACACUCGUGGCGAAGGCGGGUUCCUGGACAUUAACUGACGCUGAGGCACGAAGGCCAGGGGAGCGAAAGGGAUUAGAUACCCUUGUAGUC